rfam:Ovis aries breed Texel chromosome 13, whole genome shotgun sequence.
CCCUUGGUGGUCCAGUGGCUAAGACUCUGCGCUCCUAAUGCAGGGGGUCCCGGGUUCAAUCCCUGGUCAGGGAA